AUUGAACGCUGGCGGCAGGCCUAACACAUGCAAGUCGAACGGUAACAGGAAGCAGCUUGCUGCUUUGCUGACGAGUGGCGGACGGGUGAGUAAUGUCUGGGAAACUGCCUGAUGGAGGGGGAUAACUACUGGAAACGGUAGCUAAUACCGCAUAACGUCGCAAGGCCAAAGAGGGGGACCUUCGGGCCUCUUGCCAUCGGAUGUGCCCAGAUGGGAUUAGCUAGUAGGUGGGGUAAAGGCUCACCUAGGCGACGAUCCCUAGCUGGUCUGAGAGGAUGACCAGCCACACUGGAACUGAGACACGGUCCAGACUCCUACGGGAGGCAGCAGUGGGGAAUAUUGCACAAUGGGCGCAAGCCUGAUGCAGCCAUGCCGCGUGUAUGAAGAAGGCCUUCGGGUUGUAAAGUACUUUCAGCGGGGAGGAAGGGAGUAAAGUUAAUACCUUUGCUCAUUGACGUUACCCGCAGAAGAAGCACCGGCUAACUCCGUG
rnacentral:rRNA from 1 species